CCUACGGGAGGCAGCAGUGGGGAAUUUUGGACAAUGGGCGCAAGCCUGAUCCAGCCAUUCCGCGUGAGUGAAGAAGGCCUUCGGGUUGUAAAGCUCUUUCGCAAGAGAAGAACACUUACUUUCUAAUAAAGAGUGAGGUUGACGGUAUCUUGAUAAGAAGCACCGGCUAACUACGUGCCAGCAGCCGCGGUAAUACGUAGGGUGCGAGCGUUAAUCGGAAUUACUGGGCGUAAAGCGUGCGCAGGCUGUUUUGUAAGUCAGAUGUGAAAUCCCCGAGCUCAACUUGGGAACUGCGUUUGAAACUACAAGACUAGAAUAUGUCAGAGGGGGGUAGAAUUCCACGUGUAGCAGUGAAAUGCGUAGAGAUGUGGAGGAAUACCAAUGGCGAAGGCAGCCCCCUGGGAUAAUAUUGACGCUCAUGCACGAAAGCGUGGGGAGCAAACAGGAUUAGAUACCCUGGUAGUCCACGCCCUAAACGAUGUCUACUAGUUGUUGGUGGAGUAAAAUCCAUGAGUAACGCAGCUAACGCGUGAAGUAGACCGCCUGGGGAGUACGGUCGCAAGNUUAAAACGUCAAAUGAGUAGAGNGNGAGAGNGCGAGGACGACGACGAGGGAGGAGG
rnacentral:rRNA from 1 species